UUUGAUUCCUGGCUCAGGACGAACGCUGGCGGCGUGCCUAAUACAUGCAAGUCGAACGAACUCUGGUAUUGAUUGGUGCUUGCAUCAUGAUUUACAUUUGAGUGAGUGGCGAACUGGUGAGUAACACGUGGGAAACCUGCCCAGAAGCGGGGGAUAACACCUGGAAACAGAUGCUAAUACCGCAUAACAACUUGGACCGCAUGGUCCGAGUUUGAAAGAUGGCUUCGGCUAUCACUUUUGGAUGGUCCCGCGGCGUAUUAGCUAGAUGGUGGGGUAACGGCUCACCAUGGCAAUGAUACGUAGCCGACCUGAGAGGGUAAUCGGCCACAUUGGGACUGAGACACGGCCCAAACUCCUACGGGAGGCAGCAGUAGGGAAUCUUCCACAAUGGACGAAAGUCUGAUGGAGCAACGCCGCGUGAGUGAAGAAGGGUUUCGGCUCGUAAAACUCUGUUGUUAAAGAAGAACAUAUCUGAGAGUAACUGUUCAGGUAUUGACGGUAUUUAACCAGAAAGCCACGGCUAACUACGUGCCAGCAGCCGCGGUAAUACGUAGGUGGCAAGCGUUGUCCGGAUUUAUUGGGCGUAAAGCGAGCGCAGGCGGUUUUUUAAGUCUGAUGUGAAAGCCUUCGGCUCAACCGAAGAAGUGCAUCGGAAACUGGGAAACUUGAGUGCAGAAGAGGACAGUGGAACUCCAUGUGUAGCGGUGAAAUGCGUAGAUAUAUGGAAGAACACCAGUGGCGAAGGCGGCUGUCUGGUCUGUAACUGACGCUGAGGCUCGAAAGUAUGGGUAGCAAACAGGAUUAGAUACCCUGGUAGUCCAUACCGUAAACGAUGAAUGCUAAGUGUUGGAGGGUUUCCGCCCUUCAGUGCUGCAGCUAACGCAUUAAGCAUUCCGCCUGGGGAGUACGGCCGCAAGGCUGAAACUCAAAGGAAUUGACGGGGGCCCGCACAAGCGGUGGAGCAUGUGGUUUAAUUCGAAGCUACGCGAAGAACCUUACCAGGUCUUGACAUACUAUGCAAAUCUAAGAGAUUAGACGUUCCCUUCGGGGACAUGGAUACAGGUGGUGCAUGGUUGUCGUCAGCUCGUGUCGUGAGAUGUUGGGUUAAGUCCCGCAACGAGCGCAACCCUUAUUAUCAGUUGCCAGCAUUAAGUUGGGCACUCUGGUGAGACUGCCGGUGACAAACCGGAGGAAGGUGGGGAUGACGUCAAAUCAUCAUGCCCCUUAUGACCUGGGCUACACACGUGCUACAAUGGAUGGUACAACGAGUUGCGAACUCGCGAGAGUAAGCUAAUCUCUUAAAGCCAUUCUCAGUUCGGAUUGUAGGCUGCAACUCGCCUACAUGAAGUCGGAAUCGCUAGUAAUCGCGGAUCAGCAUGCCGCGGUGAAUACGUUCCCGGGCCUUGUACACACCGCCCGUCACACCAUGAGAGUUUGUAACACCCAAAGUCGGUGGGGUAACCUUUUAGGAACCAGCCGCCUAA
rnacentral:rRNA from 1 species